CUGCUUUGGAAGGACUGUCCUUUUUGAUUUCUGGACGGUCCUGCUUAAAAAAGGAACAGUGCCAGAUUAAAAUCCCUGCGAGCAGAAAGGCCAGGCUCUGACGUGAUCUGCCCCUUCCGGUAGCUGGGUACAAAA
rnacentral:snoRNA from 1 species